AGCACACGCCGCCUAGAUGGCUAAGCUGCGAACGGCUCAUUAAAUCAGCUAUGGUUCCUUAGAUCUUAAGUCGGGUCCUCGCGGACUCGGCGAUUGGAUAACUGUGGUAAUUCUAGAGCUAAUACAUGCCUCUGCCGUCGGGGCCCGUGAGGGCCGCGACGUCUUUAUCCCAUCAAGACCAGCCGGUGCAGCGCGGCCUUCGGGUCGUGGCGACCGACCUCUUUGAUGAACUCUGGAUAACUCGUUCUGACUGCACGGCCUCGCGCCGGCGGCUGAUCUAAUAAAUGUCUGCCUUAUCAACUGUCGACGGUACGGUCCCGGCCUACUGUGGUUAUAACGGGUAGCGGGGAAUAAGGGUUCUAUACCAGAGAGGGAGCAUGAGAGACGGCUACCACAUCCAAGGAAGGCAGCAGGCAUGCAAAUUACCCACUCCCGGCACGGGGAGGUAGUGACGAUCAAUAACGAUGCGGGACUCUGACGAGGAUCCGUAAUCGGAAUGGGCGUACUUUAAAUCCUUCGAUGAGGAUCAAGUUGAGGCAAAGUCUGGUGCCAGCAGCCACAGUAAUUCCAGCUCCACUAGCGUAUAUUAAAGUUGCUGCAGUUAAAAAGCUCGUAGUCGGAUCUCGGGAUCGUGCCCUGUCGGUUCCUUCUCGCUGUGGUCCCGCAAGGAGUCGCAACGUAGCAGGGCUGUUGGGGCCUCACCCGGGCGGUCCCCUGCUUUUCUGUCAGGGUGCCUUCACCACCCGCGCGUGGCCCGCCGUCUCGUCCAGGUAGGUGUCCUUGACUGGAUGCCUGCCUUCGGACGUGACCCGUUUACCUUGAACAAAACGGAGUGCUCAAAGCAGGCUCCACCACGCUCUAACGGUAGCGCAUGGAAUAAUGGAAGAGGACCCGCCUCCCCUUCUGUUGGUCUCACGGAGGCAGGUAAUGAUCAAGAGGAACGGACGGGGGCAGAGGUAUGUCGUGGCGAGAGGUGAAAUUCUUGGACCCUCGACAGACCCUCGAGAGUGAAAGCAUCUGCCAAGGAUGUUUCCAUUGAUCAAGAACGAAAGUCGCGGGAUCGAAGGGGAUUAGAUACCCCCGUAGUCGCGACCAUAAACGAUGCCAACCAGGGAUCCGACGGCGUUACUUCCAUGAUCCAUCGGGCACCCGACCCGGGAAACCGAGAGUCUUUGGGUUCCAGGGGAGUAUGGUUGCAAAGCUGAAACUUAAAGGAAUUGACGGAAGGGCACCACCAGGAGUGGAGCCUGUGGCUUAAUUUGACUCAACACGGGAAACCUCACCCGGCCCGGACACAGUGAGGAUUGACAGACUGAGAGCUCUUUCUCGAUUCUGUGGAUGGUGGUGCAUGGCCGUUCUUAGUUCGUGGAGUGAUCCGUCUGGUUAAUUCCAAUAACGAACGAGACCCCGUCCUACUAACUAGCCCUCGGGCCCAGCUUUUCGGAAUGAAUGCUUCUUAGAGGGACUGGCAGGGUUUACCUGCAUGAAAGGGGGCGAUAACAGGUCUGUGAUGCCCUAAGAUGUCCGGGGCUGCACGCGCGCUACAAUGAAGGCAUCAGCGUGCGCUUUGACCGUUCCCUGCCUGAAAAGGCCGGGUAAUCCGCUGAACCGCCUUCAUGCCUGGGAUAGGGAUUUGCAAUUAUCUCCCUUGAACGAGGAAUUCCCAGUAGGCGCGAGUCAUCAGCUCGCGUCGAUUACGUCCCUGCCCUUUGUACACACCGCCCGUCGCUACUACCGAUCGAACGAUUUCGCGAGGUACCUGGACCGGCAUCUGCCUGGAAGCCUUCCCUCGGGAGUGGCAGAAGGGUAAGCUCGUCGGGAAAGGGCCCGAGCAUGGUCGUUUAGAGGAAGUAAAAGUCGUAACAAGGUUUCCGUAGGUGAACCUGC
rnacentral:rRNA from 1 species